AAAAAGUUCAGUUGUCUCCUGAUGAUUGAAGAGUGUCUGGUGCUGUGUCUCCGAGGUCUUUGUGUGAGCACCCUGGAACCCUCCCGUCAAGGUUACACGAUCCCCCAAAUAACGAAACCCAGUGAUCUUUGACAUCACUCGACCACUGAGGAAGACACGGAGCGUGUCGAAAGCUCUGGUAGAAGAGUGAGUUUUUUGAUCUUAGGGUUGAAAACUCCACAGAUUGUGUUGCCGCAUCCGGACGGAGCUUCCCUCCGAAAAUUUCCACUGAGGCUGAACGG